rnacentral:lncRNA from 1 species
AUCAUCGCCACCACCAUCCCCAUCACCAACAUCAUCACCAUUAUCACUAUCAUCAUACCAUCACUGUCACCAUUAUCAUCACCAUCAUCACCACCAUCAUCACCAUCAUCAUCAUCACCAUUAUCACCAUCACCAUCAUCACCACCAUCAUCAUAAUCACCACUAUCACCACCAACACCAUCACCAUCACCAUCACCAUUAUCACUACCAUCAUGACAUCAUUAUCACCAUUAUCAUCACCAUCAUCAUCACCAUCACCAUCAUCAUCACCAUCAUAAUGCCAUCAUUAUCACCGUUAUUGUCACCAUCACCUUCAUCACCACCACCAUCAUCAUCACCACCAUCAUCAUCAUCAUCACCAUCACCAACACCAUCAUCACUAUCAUAAUACCAUCAUCACCAUCAUCACCAUCACCAUCAUGAUCACUAUCAUCACCAUUACCAACAUCUCCAUCAUCACCAUUAUCACCACCAUCACUGCCACCACUACCACCACCAUCAUCACCAUUACAACCAACUUC